rnacentral:rRNA from 1 species
UAGGGAAUCUUCGGCAAUGGGGGGAACCCUGACCGAGCAACGCCGCGUGAGUGAAGAAGGUUUUCGGAUCGUAAAGCUCUGUUGUUAAGGAAGAACGAGUGUGAGAAUGGAAAGUUCAUGCUGUGACGGUACUUAACCAGAAAGGGACGGCUAACUACGUGCCAGCAGCCGCGGUAAUACGUAGGUCCCGAGCGUUGUCCGGAUUUAUUGGGCGUAAAGCGAGCGCAGGCGGUUAGAAAAGUCUGAAGUGAAAGGCAGUGGCUCAACCAUUGUAGGCUUUGGAAGCUGUUUAACGUGAGUGCAGAAGGGGAGGGUGGAAUUCCAUGUGUAGCGGUGAAAUGCGUAGAUAUAUGGAGGAACGCCGGUGGCGAAAGCGGCUCUCUGGUCUGUAACUGACGCUGAGGCUCGAAAGCGUGGGGAGCGAACAGG